UGCAUUGGCGGGUGGAUUCUUAACCACUGCGUCACCAGAGAAGUCCCGUCAUGUGAGUUUUAUCCUUAGUAAAAAGGAAGUUCUCAAACGGAGUGUCAUGAUUUGAUUUGCAUUUUAGGAUGAGUAGUCCAGCCGUUCUGUGGAAAAUGAAGAGAGGCAAGAGUGGAAACAAGGAACACUACUUGCAGGCUGUUGUGAUGGAGAAAGAUGAUGGUGGUGGUUUGGAUUAGGAUGGUGAUGGAGAGAAGAGAAUGGAUUUGAGAUAAAUUUUGGAAGUGGAGUACAUAGGAAGAUACUGAAAAAGGAGUUCUGAGAAAGAGAGAAGUGUGAAAAAUGACUUGAGUAUUUUAGUAGAAUCACUGGUUGAUGGAGGUACCUUUUAUUGAGAUGGAGGAGGAGCAGACAGUGUUCAGUUUUUGACUUAAUGAGUUUGAGAUGACCGAGAUGUCUAGUAGAAAGUUGGAUGUACAGACCUGAUGCUCAGAAAGAAGUCUAGGCAGAGUAGGGAGAUUUGGGACUUGAGUGUGUAUGUGUGUGUGUGUGUGUGUGUGUGAGUGAGUGUGUGUGUACACAUACUUUAGUUGUUUGUUUGUUUAUGUGGUAUUUAAAGUGUGUGAGAUCAUUCUGUGGAGGAGUGAAGAAUAGGGAGAAUGCCCAGGACCAAGUUCUGAGGAACUCACAACACUAAGGGGUUGUAGAAUCGAGAAUCUGGAAAAGGAGAACUAGGAGGACUUGCAAUCAAGCGGUAGUGGGAAGAGGAAAACUAUGAGAGCCAGGCACCAAGGAAACUAGGAGAAGUUUGUAAGGAGGAAGCGACCAGUUGUGUCAAGUCAGAUGAGUGUGUAUUUGCUUUAUCAGCCUGGAAGUCAUCGGUAACCUUAGCAGUAACAGCUUUGGUGGAGUGGUGGUGGGGAAGCCAUGGUAGAGUGGGUGGAAGAGUGAAGACGAAGUAAGAGAGUGGGGUCAAUGAGUAAAGCCAAAUUCUAACAAGAAACUUGGCUGUGUAGAAGAGACAGGUUGGUAGGUAGAAGGGGAUACAUGUCAAGGGAAGGCUUUUAAGAAAAAAAGUAUCAGCUGUAAGAGCUAUAAUGUAGGAAGGAACACUUACACCAUCAUCUUAAAGGGGAAAAUAUUUCCCAUGAGAAUCAUCAUAAUUCACUGACUGGGAGAACUUUUUACUGCAAGGAAGAUCUGGUUUGUGUAUAUUUAGAAUAGAUGCUUAAUCUCACUGACUUUUUCUGUUGCAUUUUCCAAAUGCAUGAGAUAGAAAUAUAGAAGAGUAUUUCAUACUUACUUGAACUAAUAUAAAUAUUUACGAGGUGCUUUCUAUGUGCCAGGCACUGUUUACUGCAUUACAUGUAUUAACUGAUUUGAUUGUUCUUCAAGAAAGUAUUUGCUGAAGGAAUAUACAGAAGCUUUUUUUUUUCCCCUCUUCCCAUGAACAGAGUUGAUUCCAGAGGAGACUGGGGGGAAAAGAAGAAAUAAAAGAUCACAUUAUUGGGGAAAAGCAGAUGCCUGUUAAAUUCACAGAAAUCUUCAUAUAGAGAAGCCAGAGAAAUAAGCUGGGAGUAGAAUGCAAAUCACUGGGCUCAGUUCAUAUUUGCAGUUUUGAUUUAGAGCCUCAAAAUCAUUGUUACUUUAGAUUGAAAUGAACAGUUACCUUUUUUUCCUUGCAAAGUAAAAAAGAUUGAAGGGAGAGUCCACAGCUGUGUUCUGACCCUAAGUUUGUGGUUUGACAGCCCACAAGCCCCAAGAGUUGCUGUCAUUCUCCUGAUGACUCAGCAGGGACCCGUGUGCUAGAUUAUGGUGUUGCCUCAGUGUUGUUUGUAAAGGUUCUUUCUGUCCUGUGUAAUAUUUGAGAUUCGAGAUCCCAAAGUCAGACCCAGGGGAUGAUUGUGGACUGGAAGUAUCAUUUGUAUUCCCUAUGUAGACACUGAAAUAGUCUAUUUCAGAAUUGAAGAUAAUUAGAAUUAAUACUUCAAGUAGGCAAUUGAGGUGUCAUUUGGAAGACUGGAUCUUUGUGUUACAUUGUUGUUGUAGGGUAGUUGUUAAGAGCAUAGGUUCUGGAGCAGUGUUUCAACCCUAGUUCUCCCUUUGUGCCUUAGUGUCUCCACUGGGGUAAUAGUAUUUACUUCUUGGGUUUUUGUGAAAAUUAAAAGAGUUAAUAUAAGAAAAGCACUUAGUGUCUGACACAGUAAGCAUUGUUUGCUUGUCAUCCCAUGGACCUUUGGGAAUGCUGAGUUAAGACUGCCCAUGGAUAGUUUGUAUGUUUAACGUAUACGCUUUCAACCUCCAGGAUGUUACUGUGAGAAGCAUCUGCCAGUCUGCCGUUACAAAUAGGCUGCACUGCGGGUCUUGCGGAUCUCUGUUCCUUGACCAGGGAUUGAAUCCCGGCCAUGGUAGUGAAAGCCUGGAAUCCUAACCACUAGGCCACCAGGGAACUCGCGCUUAAGCCUCUUUUUGAGGGGGUGUAAUAAAUAUUUUAGUUUCUUGA